CCAAGGCGUGUGAGCAGAACCUGAGGAGGACCUUCCAAUACGGAGGAAGAAUCGAACACCCCAACAGCAUGGAACUGAAGGCUAUGCUGGCUGGGCGGAGCUCCAAGAGACAGUUGUUCCUCCUACCAGGCGGCAUCGAGAGACACCUCAAAAUCAAGACCUGCUCAGUGUCUCUGGAUGCUAUAGAGGAGCUAUGUAAUGACAUGGGACUGCACAGACUGGAGGCCAUGGAUGAGUACGCUGUAUUUGUGGUCAC